CACAGGUGGUCAGGUAGAGAAUACCAAGGCGCUUGAGAGAACUCGGGUGAAGGAACUAGGCAAAAUGGUGCCGUAACUUCGGGAGAAGGCACGCUGACACGUAGGUGAAGUGAUUUACUCAUGGAGCUGAAGUCAGUCGAAGAUACCAGCUGGCUGCAACUGUUUAUUAAAAACACAGCACUGUGCAAACACGAAAGUGGACGUAUACGGUGUGACGCCUGCCCGGUGCCGGAAGGUUAAUUGAUGGGGUCAGCGCAAGCGAAGCUCCUGAUCGAAGCCCCGGUAAACGGCGGCCGUAACUAUAACGGUCCUAAGGUAGCGAAAUUCCUUGUCGGGUAAGUUCCGACCUGCACGAAUGGCGUAAUGAUGGCCAGGCUGUCUCCACCCGAGACUCAGUGAAAUUGAACUCGCUGUGAAGAUGCAGUGUACCCGCGGCAAGACGGAAAGACCCCGUGAACCUUUACUAUAGCUUGACACUGAACAUUGAGCCUUGAUGUGUAGGAUAGGUGGGAGGCUUUGAAGUGUGGACGCCAGUCUGCAUGGAGCCGACCUUGAAAUACCACCCUUUAAUGUUUGAUGUUCUAACGUGGACCCGUUACCCGGGUUGCGGACAGUGUCUGGUGGGUAGUUUGACUGGGGCGGUCUCCUCCUAAAGAGUAACGGAGGAGCACGAAGGUUGGCUAAUCCUGGUCGGACAUCAGGAGGUUAGUGCAAUGGCAUAAGCCAGCUUGACUGCGAGCGUGACGGCGCGAGCAGGUGCGAAAGCAGGUCAUAGUGAUCCGGUGGUUCUGAAUGGAAGGGCCAUCGCUCAACGGAUAAAAGGUACUCCGGGGAUAACAGGCUGAUACCGCCCAAGAGUUCAUAUCGACGGCGGUGUUUGGCACCUCGAUGUCGGCUCAUCACAUCCUGGGGCUGAAGUAGGUCCCAAGGGUAUGGCUGUUCGCCAUUUAAAGUGGUACGCGAGCUGGGUUUAGAACGUCGUGAGACAGUUCGGUCCCUAUCUGCCGUGGGCGCUGGAGAACUGAGGGGGGCUGCUCCUAGUACGAGAGGACCGGAGUGGACGCAUCACUGGUGUUCGGGUUGUCAUGCCAAUGGCACUGCCCGGUAGCUAAAUGCGGAAGAGAUAAGUGCUGAAAGCAUCUAAGCACGAAACUUGCCCCGAGAUGAGUUCUCCCUGAGACUUAGAGUCUCCUGAAGGAACGUUGAAGACGACGACGUUGAUAGGCCGGGUGUGUAAGCGCAGCGAUGCGUUGAGCUAACCGGUACUAAUGAACCGUGAGGCUUAACCUUACAACGCCG
rnacentral:rRNA from 1 species